GAAGCAUUGUACAAGAGUUGUACACUCAUCCAUCUAUGUGUCACCAAUAACUGUUAGGUGAGGUGGCAUGUAAAUCGGUGGGACCGCAGUACCCACUAGAAACCCUAGUCGUGUGGGAUUUCCGUUUCCCUACCAGGGGAGUGUGAGGGAUUCGAGAAAAUAGUGGGAGUUACAUUUGUUCUAAAAGACCUUAGAACAGAUUAGGAUCAAGUACAAAAGUCUAAUUAGAAUCUUUACUCUCUGCAGAUACAAUGUCAGCUUCAAACUCUUUGACCCGUAUUCUUGAGACCAACCGACUGACCGGAACCAAUUACAAAGACUGGCUUAGAAACCUCAAAAUUGUUUUGGACUGUGAGAAAAUAGGCUACAUACUCGAUUCAGAUAUCCCCACACUACCAGCACGUC
rnacentral:lncRNA from 1 species